rnacentral:rRNA from 1 species
GACAGAGGCCUCGAGCGUUAGGCGGAAUCACUGGGCUUAAAGCGUGUGUAGGCGGAUCGUUAAGUGCCUUGUGAAAUCCCACGGCUUAACUGUGGAACGGCUGGGCAUACUGGCGGUCUUGAGCCAUCUAGGGGCGACUGGAACAAACGGUGGAGCGGUGAAAUGCGUAGAUAUCGUUUGGAACGCUAAUGGUGAAAACAGGUCGCUGGGGAUGAGCUGACGCUGAGACACGAAAGCCAGGGGAGCAAACGGG